GGAGGGUACAGCUCAGUGGAAGAGCGUGUGCUUGGCAUACGCAGAGCGUCCUGGGUUCAAUCCCCAGUCCCUCCA
rnacentral:tRNA from 1 species